CUGAUAUGUCAGCUGAUACCUGAAAAGGCAAUAGGAUCAACAAUUUAAUAUCUCUUCAAUGAGUUCAAGUUUCAUCAUCGGCCACCACAGAUCAACCUAAAAAGCAUUCAGACACUCUAGAGCAUCUGCAAGAUCCACACUGCCUCCCCUGAACUUCGAAAGGAAGUGGUAAAUGUGUGUACAGUUACAACAUUUAAAGGUCACUCAGCUAUUCAACAGUUUCUUGCUUCAUCGGAGCUUCAGUGCCUGACACCGAAUUCCCGGCAAAUUUCUUCAGACUUGAAUAUGAUAAGAAAACCUUCAAAUGACUUUGUGAAGGGAGUAUAACUUUGUUGUCAAAUCUCGUGAGAAGUAUUUGAAUGAAAGGCGGCUAAGGUGAUAACGUGUCACUACAUGUAUUAAUGAUGGAUGCAUUAUGAAUUGGGAUUUGCUUGCAAUGUGUUUGGGAAGAGGGUGUCUUAAGAAGAGGAUUCUGAUAAUGAAAGCAGCCAACAGACAGAAAAAAGUACAAUAAAAACAGCUUGAGUUGUUCUGUAGACAACGUUCAUGUGCUGAAUGGACUGCAAGUCUUCUAAAACCUCAUACACCUUACUUCUCUGAAAAUAAUA